CGUUGAAACACAUGUCCUCGUACGAUCACCGAAGUUAAGCAUUGUCGAUAUCGGUCAGUACCUACAUGGGUGACCGCUUAGGAAUACCAAGUAUUGUAAG